AGAGUUUGAUCAUGGCUCAGGAUGAACGCUAGCUGGAGGCUUAAUACAUGCAAGUCGAGCGGGAUUGGUAGCAAUACCAUGAGAGCGGCGCACGGGUGAGUAACGCGUACACGACCUACCUCUAACAGGGGGAUAGCCCUGGGAAACUGGGAUUAAUACCGCAUAUAAUUCUGAUAUAUAAAUGAUUGGAAUGAAAGUUCAGGCGGUUAGAGAUGGGUGUGCGUCUGAUUAGCUAGUUGGUAAGGUAACGGCUUACCAAGGCGAUGAUCAGUAGGGGGCGUGAGAGCGUGAUCCCCCACACGGGUACUGAGACACGGACCCGACUCCUACGGGAGGCAGCAGUAAGGAAUAUUGGUCAAUGGGCGAAAGCCUGAACCAGCCAUCCAGCGUGCAGGAAGAAGGCCCUACGGGUUGUAAACUGCUUUUGUCAGGGAAGAAACCCUUGGAUUCACUCCGAGGCUGACGGUACCUGAAGAAUAAGCACCGGCUAACUCCGUGCCAGCAGCCGCGGUAAUACGGAGGGUGCGAGCGUUAUCCGGAAUUACUGGGUUUAAAGGGUGCGUAGGCGGCUUGGUAAGUCAGGAGUGAAAGUUUGCGGCUCAACCGUAAAAUUGCUUUCGAUACUGCCAGGCUAGAAUCAGGAUGAGGUCAGCGGAAUGUGGCAUGUAGCGGUGAAAUGCAUAGAUAUGCCAUAGAACAC
rnacentral:rRNA from 1 species